UGUAGGGAUUGUGCUGUUGACAAGGAGAAAUUGGCAGAAGAAUAUACUUUUUACUUGAUUCCAGGAUCAAUGAAUUGGCAAGGGAUGCAUCAUGCAUGUGUAGAGCUGGUGGGAAAUUGCAAAAAUAAUUUGGUUUAAAACAAGGAGUUGUCCCAAUCAAACCAUUCAAAAACAAGAUAGAUGGUUUGUCUUUUUUUGCCGCCCCUUUUGGGUUGGAUAUAAAGG